GGCAGAGAAUGACGCGAGAGCUUCCCGCGUUGUGUCUGAACAGUCCGAGCUCACUGUACAAGCUCCAGCCAAUGCCAUCAAUGGCAUCGCCACCAAUUCUCUGCGACCCAGUGCUGCGUUGGAGCACUGCUAUUGGCCCUUUCACCCUUAUAUAUUUAUAACCUCAGCCUCAGCUGGGUUCAUGGCUGGGUUAACUCCACCUCCCAGAAAGUUUAUAAAGUUUUUGGCUCCUGGGCUCCAUGAAAAACUUUCAAUUCCAGUAGUGUUUUCUAGAAGUCUCCAUGAAAAGAAUGAAGCACUUCUGAAAAGCUGUCAGGGAUAUUGGCCUCUUAAAGUUCGUAAGCAUGGGGAUGGAUUGCUUUACUUCGAAGAUGGUGGUUGGAAAGAAUUUGUGGAGCAUCAUGGGUUGGAACUUGGAGAAUUUUUGGUCUUGAAGCACCAAGGGAUUAAACUUUUGCUGGUUUUGUUGAUGUUUUCUGAUUUUGAACAAUGUGACCAAGCAUGUGUUUUCAUCAUUGAUGUUUAUAUUAUAUUUUAUUUUAUUUUCA